UUUGGUGAUCAUAGCACGAGCAAAACACCCGGCUCCAUUCCGAACCCGGCCGUUAAGUGCCGUUGCGCCAAUGGUACUGCGUCUUAAGACGUGGGAGAGUAGGUCAUCGCCAAAC
rnacentral:rRNA from 1 species